rnacentral:lncRNA from 1 species
AUGGUCAGACCCUAAAUAGCUAGAAAUAAUUCUGAAAACUCAGCCCGAGUUAGAGCAUCCUGGGCCUCAGGUUAUUCUACAAAUGGUCUCCCUCGAGUCAUUAAGCCUACAAAAGGUUUUAGAAAUGAGAUUGAUGACUAGGUUGAAAAAGAUUAUUUCUAAUGUUAAGUAAUAUUUUUCUAAAUCUAAACUUUAGACCUUAGUGUAAGGGAUUUUUGGAGAAUC